rnacentral:rRNA from 1 species
GGAGCUCUCCCAUAUGGUCGACCUGCAGGCGGCCGCGAAUUCACUAGUGAUUGUUUGAUCCUGGCUCAGGAUGAACGCUAGCGACAGGCCUAACACAUGCAAGUCGAGGGGUAUAAGUAGCUUGCUACUUAGAGACCGGCGCACGGGUGAGUAACGCGUAUGCAACCUACCUUUUACUGGGGGAUAGCCCAAAGAAAUUUGGAUUAAUACCGCAUAACAUAUUUGAAUCGCAUGGUUUAAAUAUUAAAACUUCGGUGGUAAAAGAUGGGCAUGCGUAGCAUUAGUUAGUUGGUGAGGUAACGGCUCACCAAGACUAUGAUGCUUAGGGGGUCUGAGAGGAUAGUCCCCCACACUGGUACUGAGACACGGACCAGACUCCUACGGGAGGCAGCAGUGAGGAAUAUUGGUCAAUGGGCGCAAGCCUGAACCAGCCAUGUCGCGUGCAGGAUGACGGCCCUAUGGGUUGUAAACUGCUUUUUUACAGGAAUAAACUUUGUUACGUGUAGCAAACUGAAGGUACUGUAAGAAUAAGGAUCGGCUAACUCCGUGCCAGCAGCCGCGGUAAUACGGAGGAUCCAAGCGUUAUCCGGAUUUAUUGGGUUUAAAGGGUCCGUAGGCGGGCUUUUAAGUCAGUGGUGAAAUCCCAGAGCUCAACUCUGGAACUGCCAUUGAUACUGAAGGUCUUGAAUUUAGUUGAGGUGGGCGGAAUACGUUAUGUAGCGGUGAAAUGCAUAGAUAUAACGUAGAACACCGAUUGCGAAGGCAGCUCACUAAGCUAACAUUGACGCUGAUGGACGAAAGCGUGGGGAGCGAACAGGAUUAGAUACCCUGGUAGUCCACGCCGUAAACGAUGAUUACUCGUUGUGCACGAUACACUGUGCGUGACUG